GACGAACCGUGCGAACGUUGUUCGGAUUCACUGGGCUUAAAGGGCGCGUAGGCGGCUCGCCAAGUCAGGGGUGAAAUCUUUCGGCUCAACCGGAAAAGUGCUUCUGAUACUGGCGGGCUGGAGGAGGGUAGGGGCGGAUGGAACUUCCGGUGGAGCGGUGAAAUGCGUAGAUAUCGGAAGGAACGCCGGUGGCGAAAGCGAUCCGCUGGACCCUCCCUGACGCUGAGGCGCGAAAGCCAGGGGAGCAAACAGG
rnacentral:rRNA from 1 species